rnacentral:rRNA from 1 species
GGGCGUAAAGAGCUCGUAGGCGGUUUGUCGCGUCUGCUGUGAAAUCCGGAGGCUCAACCUCCGGCCUGCAGUGGGUACGGGCAGACUAGAGUGCGGUAGGGGAGAUUGGAAUUCCUGGUGUAGCGGUGGAAUGCGCAGAUAUCAGGAGGAACACCGAUGGCGAAGGCAGAUCUCUGGGCCGUAACUGACGCUGAGGAGCGAAAGGGUGGGGAGCAAACAGGCUUAGAUACCCUGGUAGUCCACCCCGUAAACGUUGGGAACUAGUUGUGGGGUCCAUUCCACGGAUUCCGUGACGCAGCUAACGCAUUAAGUUCCCCGCCUGGGGAGUACGGCCGCAAGGCUAAAACUCAAAGGAAUUGACGGGGACCCGCACAAGCGGCGGAGCAUGCGGAUUAAUUCGAUGCAACGCGAAGAACCUUACCAAGGCUUGACAUAUACGAGAACGGGCCAGAAAUGGUCAACUCUUUGGACACUCGUAAACAGGUGGUGCAUGGUUGUCGUCAGCUCGUGUCGUGAGAUGUUGGGUUAAGUCCCGCAACGAGCGCAACCCUCGUUCUAUGUUGCCAGCACGUAAUGGUGGGAACUCAUGGGAUACUGCCGGGGUCAACUCGGAGGAAGGUGGGGAUGACGUCAAAUCAUCAUGCCCCUUAUGUCUUGGGCUUCACGCAUGCUACAAUGGCCGGUACAAAGGGCUGCAAUACCGCGAGGUGGAGCGAAUCCCAAAAAGCCGGUCCCAGUUCGGAUUGAGGUCUGCAACUCGACCUCAUGAAGUCGGAGUCGCUAGUAAUCGCAGAUCAGCAACGCUGCGGUGAAUACGUUCCCGGGUCUUGUACACACCGCCCGUCAAGUCAUGAAAGUCGGUAACACCUGAAGCCGGU